GAUGAACGCUGGCGGCGUGCCUAAUACAUGCAAGUCGAGCGAACAGAUGAGGAGCUUGCUCCUCUGACGUUAGCGGCGGACGGGAGAGUAACACGUGGAUAACCUACCUCUAAGACUGGGAUAACUUCGGGAAACCGGAGCUAAUACCGGAUAAUAUAUUGAACCUCAUGGUUCAAUAGUGAAAGUCGGUUUUGCUGUAACUUAUAGAUGGAUCCGCGCCGCAUGAGCUAGUUGGUAAGGUAACGGCUUACCAAGGCAACGAUGCUUAGCCGACCUGAGAGGGUGGUCGGGCACACUGGAAGUGAGACACGGCCGCGACUCCGACGGGAGGCAGCAGUAGGGAAUCUUCCGGGAUGGAGGAGUGCCUGACGGGGCGACACCGCGUGAGGGAUGAAGGACCUAGGAUCGGAGAACUCUGUUAUUAGGGGAGAACAAAUGUGUUAGUAACUAUGCACGUAUUGACGGUACCUAAUCAGAAAGCCCCGGCUAACUACGUG
rnacentral:rRNA from 1 species